rnacentral:rRNA from 1 species
GAUGAACGCUGGCGGCGUGCCUAAUACAUGCAAGUCGAGCGAACGGACGAGAAGCUUGCUUCUCUGAUGUUAGCGGCGGACGGGUGAGUAACACGUGGAUAACCUACCUAUAAGACUGGGAUAACUUCGGGAAACCGGAGCUAAUACCGGAUAAUAUUUUGAACCGCAUGGUUCAAAAGUGAAAGACGGUCUUGCUGUCACUUAUAGAUGGAUCCGCGCUGCAUUAGCUAGUUGGUAAGGUAACGGCUUACCAAGGCAACGAUGCAUAGCCGACCUGAGAGGGUGAUCGGCCACACUGGAACUGAGACACGGUCCAGACUCCGACGGGAGGCAGCAGUAGGGAAUCGUCCGCAAUGGGCGAAAGCCUGACGGAGCAACGCCGCGUGAGUGAUGAAGGUCUUCGGAUCGUAAAACUCUGUUAUUAGGGAAGAACAUAUGUGUAAGUAACUGUGCACAUCUUGACGGUACCUAAUCAGAAAGCCACGGCUAACUACGUG